GUGCUCACUUCAGCAGCACAUAGACUGCAAUGGGAAUGAUGCAGAAAAGAUUAGCAUGGCCCUGUGCAGGGAUGACCCGCAAAUUCGUGAAUUGUUCCAUAUAAAA